rnacentral:rRNA from 1 species
AGCUAACGCGUUAAGUAGACCGCCUGGGGAGUACGGUCGCAAGAUUAAAACUCAAAUGAAUUGACGGGGGCCCGCACAAGCGGUGGAGCAUGUGGUUUAAUUCGAUGCAACGCGAAGAACCUUACCUACUCUUGACAUCCAGAGAACUUUCCAGAGAUGGAUUGGUGCCUUCGGGAACUCUGAGACAGGUGCUGCAUGGCUGUCGUCAGCUCGUGUUGUGAAAUGUUGGGUUAAGUCCCGCAACGAGCGCAACCCUUAUCCUUGUUUGCCAGCGAGUAAUGUCGGGAACUCCAGGGAGACUGCCGGUGAUAAACCGGAGGAAGGUGGGGACGACGUCAAAUCAUCAUGGCCCUUACGAGUAGGGCUACACACGUGCUACAAUGGCGCAUACAGAGGGCGGCCAACUUGCGAAAGUGAGCGAAUCCCAAAAAGUGCGUCGUAGUCCGGAUUGGAGUCUGCAACUCGACUCCAUGAAGUCGGAAUCGCUAGUAAUCGUGGAUCAGAAUGCCACGGUGAAUACGUUCCCGGGCCUUGUACACACCGCCCGU